rnacentral:lncRNA from 1 species
AGAGGAAGAAGCGGCGAAGUUCGCCAAACAGUGUGCCGCCCGAUUAGCUUCCCUACGGGCAUGGCGAAAAUCUAAAACAAGGUGAUGGCGCGCAUGAGAGAAAACCUCAAAGGCUCGUCGCAAAGGGAUCCGAACCAGCCGAGUCUUCGUGAACAACAUGCACAGCAAGNUUCGCAUCUUCGGAUUGCAGCUGUGGCUUCAUUUUAGAAUAUAAGAAACACAAUAGAUGAAACGUGACUAUGCAUAUUUAUAAAUGUUCUAAAUAGUCAUUUUCAAGUGAAAAACAAAUUAAUAUAUAUAAUUUAUUUAAGAUAAUAAUUAUGAUUAUAUAUAUAUACUCGAUAAGUCACCUAAGCUUUCUGAGGAUGAUUUCUUCAAUUUCCUUAUUUUCUCUCUAUCUUUAAUUUUAUAUUAUUGAUUUUUUUUUUGAGAGAAAACGCACAAUUAUAUUAAGUCACGAGACGCAAUAUCUGAAAGCCAAGCCGGGAAGCUCGACUUCCAGAUCAUUACACCAGAGGAAGAAGCGGCGAAGUUCGCCAAACAGUGUGCCGCCCGAUUAGCUUCCCUACGGGCAUGGCGAAAAUCUAAAACAAGGUGAUGACGCGCAUGAGAGAAAACCUCAAAGAGCUCGUCGCAAAGGGAAUCCGAACCAGCCGAGUCUUCGUGAACAACAUGCACAGCAAGAAGGGAGUCUGUGAACACCAACAACGGUCCGAUCUGGUUCUCCAAACAAAAACCAAUCCCGAGCAACAUCGCGUGAAGCUCGCCCAUCAGAACAGUUUCCGUCCUUCCCACUCGGUGAGC